GCAAGGAUAAGGAGGGACUAUAGUAUGCUAUUUAACUUUCUUUUAGUAAUAUGAGUUGCAAGUAAAAAUUCCUGGUAUAGUAUUAUUAUUACAACAAGACAGUCUAUGCCUGUUGAAACUGGCACUUUUUCUUUCCCAAAACUAAUUUUAUUCUUUAAGGGGCAUGCUAUCUUGAAAAGGAGGGCAAAUAGAGCUGCCUGUGAAAAGGAAUAAUAUAAAACGGAGACCCGGCCGCCGUGAUGCUGUCCCGGUCCCACUGUGUCCCGGGCGUUCAGCCACUCGCUCUCUGCCUUCCAGAAGGGGAACUGCCCUCUAGGGAGACAUUCCCUGCCUGGGGUCUCCUUAUGCCAGGGACCAGGUUACCCUAACAGCAGGAAGGUUGUCAUUAACAACAGUGUCUUCAGUGUUCGCUUCUUCAGAACUACAACUGUAUGCAAGUAUGACUUGGUUACAGUCAAAACCCCAGCGUUUGCAGAACCUGUCACAGAGGGAGAUGUCAGGUGGGAGAAAGCUGUUGGAGACACAGUUGCAGAAGAUGAAGUGGUUUGUGAGAUUGAAACUGACAAGACAUUGGUGCAGGUUCCAUCACCAGCAAAUGGCAUGAUUGAAGCUCUUUUCGUACCUGAUGGGGGAAAAGUCGAAGGAGGCACUCCGCUUUUCACACUCAGGAAAACUGGUGCUGCUCCUGCUAAGGCCAAGCCGGCUGAAGCUCCUGCUGCUGCAGCCCCAAAAGCAGAACCUAUAGCAGCGGCAGUUCCUCCCCAUGCAGCACCCAUACCCACUCGAUGCCACCAGUGCCCUCGCCCUCACAACCUCCUUCUAGCAAACCUGUGUCUGCAGUAAAACCCACUGCUGUCCCACCACUAGCUGAGCCAGGAGCUGGCAAAGGUCUGCAUUCAGAACAUCAGGAGAAAAUGAACAGGAUGCGGCAGUGCAUUGCUCAGCGUCUGAAGGAGGCCCAGAAUACAUGUGCCAAUGCUGACAAUUUUUAAUGAGAUUGAUGUGAGUAACAUCCAGAAGAUGAGGGCUCGGCACAAAGAGGCUUUUUUGAAGAAACAUAACCUCAAACUAGGCUUCAUGUCGGCAUCUGUGAAGGCCUCAGCCUUUGCCUUGCAGGAACAGCCUGUUGUAAACGCAGUGAUUGAUGAUAUAACCAAAGAGGUGGUAUAUAGGGAUUAUAUUGACAUCAGUGUUGCAGUGGCCACCCCACAGGGUCUGGUGGUUCCAGUCAUCAGGAAUGUGGAAGCUAUGAAUUAUGCAGAUAUUGAACAGACCAUCACUGAACUGGGAGAGAAGGCCCGAAAGAAUGAAUUUGCCAUUGAAGAUAUGGAUGGUGGUACCUUCACCAUUAGCAAUGGAGGUGUUUUUGGCUCACUCUUUGAACACCCAUUAUCAACCCCCCUGUCUGCCAUCCUGGGGAUGCAUGGCAUCUUUGACAAGCCAGUGGCUAUAGGAGGCAAGGUAGAGGUGCAGCCCAUGAUGUACGUGGCACUGACCUAUGAUCACCGGCUGAUUGAUGGCAGAGAGGCUGUGACUUUCCUCCGCAAAAUCAAGGCAGCGGUAGAGGAUCCCAGAGUCCUCCUCUUUGAUCUUUAGGAGGAACCCACACACCCUACAAAUUGAUCAUGCAGGAACUGAAAACCAGUCUUCUCCCUGUCCCCUCAUGGGUCCCAGGUUAGCCUGGUGACAGGCACAUGCUGUUGGCCUCAAGCAAGGAAGCAGAGCACUAUGUAACCAGCAGUCACAGCUUUUUUCUUGGUGUUCCUGCCUGGCUCUCUCCCUCUCUGCACCUGUCUCAUACCCUCGAAUAUCUUAAUUCCUUAGGCUUGAGAGAGAGAGCCUUAAUGGAUGCUCAUUCAUAUUCCUGCCUUUCUUCCAUCAGCUCUCUGCAAAGAUGAUUUUGCUUCUCCCUAGUGCUGGUAUACUAUAGAGAAACCCCCGAGGACCAUGUGAUUAAGUUCCUAUCUUUUGAAAGUUUGUUCUGCAGAGACAUCUAGGAGGAUGCUGUGCCUCCCAAGCUCAGAGCAGCCUCUGUCCUGGCUGUGCACAUUCUCGAUUCCACUUGUAUGGAGGGAUUGAACACAGGCAAAGAGGUGCUGCUUUCCUUCUUCAAUGGCACCUUCAUUCUCCAUUGUCAUUGACUUCAAGAUGCCUCUUCUACCUCUACCAGGAAGCACAGGCCAGGGGAUCUGGGUGUGUGAAUGGGAGGAGAGAGCAGAGGUUCCCUGAGGUCACGUGUUGUAAUCAUCAUAGAAGGAGAGCCCAGGUCUGCCCUCACGCUCUCCAUCAUAGGCUCACACCAAGAAGACUCAUCUUGGCACAAUCUCACACAGCUGGGGCUGUAGCAACCCUUUCCUGGUUGCUGGGCCUCAUUCUAGCACCUUGUUCUUACUUAGAGCAGAUUCUAGCACAUCAUGGCAGUGGAACCAAGCGUAGUCCCGAAGAAGGGCCAGAGCCUGGUAGAGAUUAGGGAAGGGAGGUCUCCUCUAGACUCAGAUUGCCUUGAGCUUUUCAAGUAAGUUGCUGUAAGCCCGUGGGCUGAGGAGGCAGUUCUUGUUCCUUCCUGCGUUAUAGUGGGGCCUUGUCUCUUCCUCUGCAGGACACAGAUUUGGAGGACGUGGACUGGGGUAGGAAACCACCCUGAGGGUGUUAGUAGAUAGUGGUGUAAUGGAUGAGGUCAUUUCUAAGAUGUGUUGCCGGUGGAUCUGGGCACAAUCAUUGGAAUUCCUUGGAGCUACUGGGAUUCAUGGCUUUGUAUCCAACUGCAUCCAGGCCUGAGGCUGCUGACAUUUGACACUAGGGCCAGUAGAGAGUGCCUUUUUGUAUCUUGAGCCAAGAAGUGAGGCCUGGGGGUGGGGAGGGGGGAAGGGGUGGGAGCCAAUACUGAGUGCCUGCAGCAUCUACUACUCUGUCUUCACUAUUCAGAACUUGUAACUAAAGUAUUUAAAGAAACUGAUUUUAAAUGCAAAUUAAAGGGCAGAUGUUCUCAAAAAAAUAAAUAAAUAAAAUGGA